rnacentral:rRNA from 1 species
UAAGGAAUAUUGGUCAAUGGAGGCAACUCUGAACCAGCCAUGCCGCGUGCAGGAAGACGGCCCUACGGGUUGUAAACUGCUUUUGUACCGGAAUAAACCCCUUUACGUGUAAAGGGCUGAAUGUACGGUAAGAAUAAGGAUCGGCUAACUCCGUGCCAGCAGCCGCGGUAAUACGGAGGAUCCAAGCGUUAUCCGGAUUUAUUGGGUUUAAAGGGUGCGCAGGCGGCCUGUUAAGUCAGGGGUGAAAGACGGUGGCUCAACCAUCGCAGUGCCUUUGAUACUGACGGGCUUGAUUACACAUGAGGCAGGCGGAAUGUGACAAGUAGCGGUGAAAUGCAUAGAUAUGUCACAGAACCCCGAUUGCGAAGGCAGCUUACUAAAGUGUAAAUGACGCUGAGGCACGAAAGCGUGGGGAUCAAACA